UUAUAACAUUUUUUAAGUAAAUAUUAUUUUAAAAUAAAAUUAAUUAAAAAUACGGAAAAAUUUUAAAUAUCACUCCGCAGUUUCGUACUUUCUCAUUUUUGUACUCUGUGAUUAAAAUAUAUCACUUUAGUAUCAUAUGGUCUCUUUUUUUUUUUUUAUUCUCUUCGUCAAUUUUUUUUUUUUUAGAUCAGUGAUAAAGGUAAAAUUAAAGGGUACUAAAAUAAAAAUUCGAUAAACCACGAAAUAGUGAAGUGAAUAUUUAAUAAACGAUAGAUAGGAUAUUUAAAGUUUUUUAUAUAUAAUUUGAUAUAGAGUUAACGGAGGAGGUGUUGACAAAAAAAAAAAAAAUUAUUGAAUACUAAAAUAACGUAUUUUAAACUAUAAAAAUGUUAGAGUAAAAAAAAAACGAAAUUUAAAGUUUAG
rnacentral:lncRNA from 1 species